UUUUGCCGUGUUCUUCGGCGGCGGACGCUGGGAAGCGAGGACACCCAGCGCGCGGUCUGCUUCUGUUGGGUUCUUCGGCGGCGUCCGAGAGUGUUAGGUCUGCUUCUGUUGGGAAGCGAGAGGACCAGAAAUUUAGCUCGUAGACAUUUCCGGACAGCUUCCUUUUUUUCAGGGGCCACGUUUCUCUCUUGCUCUCAAUAACAAAAUGAUUCACGGAUGCUACGCAUGUUGUGAGGAGACUUAAUAAAAUAAUCAAUAACUAUUGGAUGGGCAGUAUAGUAGUUGGACCACCGCUCCAAAAGAAGUAAAGGAAUUGUGGUGGAAUGAGUUCAAGCGGAAGUUCAGGUGGGAUGAAGCGGAAGAGAAAGAAGUUAAAAGAAUUUUUAAGAAGAAAGCCGGUGAUCACAUGCAAAAUGUGAUGAAUAAAGCAAAGAGAAAGCAAGAAAAGCCGGAUUUUAUUACAGCUGACAAUUGGACGGAAAUUAUGAGAACUUGGGACACUGAAAAGCAUAAGCAAAUCAGUGAAAUUAAUAAGAAGAAUCGAGCUUCUAGUUCUAGUGAAGGGUCUGCCACAUAUGCUGGGGCUCUAUCAACAUCGGGGAGCGUAGAAAAAGAAUGGCAGAUGAAUUGGGGACGGAACCAACAUUUAUGGCUACAUUUGAACGCACCUUUCAGAAAAAAGAUAAGACAUGGACUGGCAAUCGAGCAAAAGCUAUUAAGGACAAAUAUGAUGAACUUGUAAUGACCACGGCUGCUGCUAGUGGUGAUGGUGAUGGUGAUGGUGUUGCUGCGUCCGAGUCAUCGGUUGACAGUAUGGCAUUAUGGAUGGAGGCAUCGGGUGGAAUGAGAAGAGGUCAAAUAUUUGGGAUGGGAUCCUUGUCAAGGAUGUACAGAACGCCGGCUGUUGCAACUUCAUCCUCCAAUGCGGCUUUUUUAAGGGCACAACA